GUGGAGGACUCCAAGUGGAGCUAGUUUGAAAGUUGGUUUCUGGCAAGAGGAAAGAAAAGGCUGCAACAUUAAAAGAAGAAUCAAAGUGUUAAAAGGACGCCCAAAAUGUAGUAUUGUGGCAGGUCGGGUUUCUAGCCAUGAAGUCCCUACGGAGAUGAAGAGUGGGAAGCAGUACAGUAACUGGUUGAAACCGUUCCACAAGGGAAAUUUCACUAGAUUUCAGAGAUACUGAUAGAUUACAAAUACUCUGGAAAUCUACCACUCAAGCUUGUGGACGCUUGAGUAAACUUUGGAUGACUAAUAGGUAACUAACUCCUGGUGAGGGCAAAAUAAAGCAGAUAAAUGAUAUAUGUUAAACUAGUAAAUUAUUUAAAGUUUCUACCUUCUUAUUAGGGCAAUUUCUGUUUUGUCCGAAACAUAAGGAAAAUGGAUUCUGUUUAUGUGGAAAAGCUGAAAACUGUUUCUUUAUUGAGUUUCCAUAUUCAUAACUCCAGCAAAUAAUUAAUGUAACAAAUCUGAUUUCAUGAAAAGUAAUUCAAUUUUAUGAUGUCUACAACAAUUAAAUUUAUCAAGACCCAUAAUUAUAAAAUAGAAAAAAGCAUGAUAAUCUGUGAAAUUACAUAUAUCAAAAUGUUUCCAUAAGAGGAUUUAUUUUUUUACAUAUUAACAAGUAUAUAUAUUAUAAAACUCAGAUUAUUUUAUAAUUUUAUAAUAAAACACAAUAGAUUUUUUAGUUUAAGAAUUGAAAUUUGGACUUAACCUUUGGACAGUUCCACGUGAUGUUAAUAAUAUAUUUUAGUCAUUUAAAAUAUUCUGACUGUUCUUAUUUAUGGAAUCAUUCAUUAGGGGCCCUUAGUCCAGAAA
ensembl:lncRNA